rnacentral:lncRNA from 1 species
AAACAAAAAAAAAAAAAAGUUCUGAAUGAUUUAACGACGCUGAAGGUUGCCAAAAAUAUGAACCUUUGUCCACACAAGACAGCAGUGAUGCUCAAGGUGCUGGAGAAAGCAGAAACCUUUGUUUCUGUAGUUCCAAGAAUGUACUAUGAAGAGGCAGAUUCAACAGAGGCCAAAGGAAUGACUAGAAAACUGAACUGUUCGUUGUGUCUUCAGGCAGCAAGUGAACUAGCGAAUAUGAUCCAGUGAACUCAAAGGCCUGUACACAAAAAUUGGAGGAUGGAACUGUUGCCUGUUGACAAGCUUUUGAAGAAGGAUGUCAUGCAGCAGUGAAGCAUCUGGAGUGAACUUCAGUGAACACUGACAUGAAAAAAAUCUUGUUAAUGGCAAGGAAUGAAUAUUCAGUAAACUACGUCAGCUACAAAACUGCCACUUUGCUUCAUGCUUCGCUUCAGGUCAUCUGAGGUUACUGUAGCAAUUGAAAGUGCUGUUGAGAGGCAGUAUGGUAUUGUGAAUAUUUUGCUGUAACGUACUCAAGAUGUAAUGUUCCUUCAAGAAACUGAAAUACUAUUUUGUAACAAAUGUAAAAAAUUAGGUUGAAAUACAUAGUGAUUCUAAUUACAGAAGCUAUUAAA